UGAUCAUGGCUCAGAUUGAACGCUGGCGGUAUGCUUAACACAUGCAAGUCGAACGGAAACGAUGGAAGCUUGCUUCCAGGCGUCGAGUGGCGGACGGGUGAGUAACGCGUAGGAAUCUGCCAGAUAGUGGGGGAUAGCCCGGAGAAAUCCGGAUUAAUACCGCAUAAUCUCCAUGGAGUAAAGAGGGCCUCUAUUUAUAAGCUUUCGCUAUCUGAUGAGCCUGCGUAAGAUUAGCUAGUUGGUGGGGUAAUGGCCUACCAAGGCGACGAUCUUUAGCUGGUCUGAGAGGAUGAUCAGCCACACUGGGACUGAGACACGGCCCAGACUCCUACGGGAGGCAGCAGUGGGGAAUAUUGGACAAUGGGGGCAACCCUGAUCCAGCAAUACCGCGUGUGUGAAGAAGGCCUGAGGGUUGUAAAGCACUUUCAAUUGUGAAGAAAAGUUAAUAGUUAAUACCUAUUAGCCUUGACGUUAACUUUAGAAGAAGCACCGGCUAACUCCGUGCCAGCAGCCGCGGUAAUACGGAGGGUGCAAGCGUUAAUCGGAAUUACUGGGCGUAAAGCGUGCGUAGGCGGUUGACUAAGUCAGAUGUGAAAGCCCCGGGCUUAACCUGGGAACUGCAUUUGAAACUGGUCAACUAGAGUAUGGUAGAGGAAAGUGGAAUUUCUGGUGUAGCGGUGAAAUGCGUAGAUAUCAGAAGGAACAUCGAUGGCGAAGGCAGCUUUCUGGACCCUGGUAGUCCACGCCGUAAACGAUGAUAACUAGCCGUUGGGAGGGUUUACCUCUUAGUGGCGAAGCUAACGCGUUAAGUUAUCCGCCUGGGGAGUACGGCCGCAAGGCUAAAACUCAAAGGAAUUGACGGGGACCCGCACAAGCGGUGGAGCAUGUGGUUUAAUUCGAUGCAACGCGAAGAACCUUACCUGGUCUUGACAUACAGAGAACUUUCCAGAGAUGGAUUGGUGCCUUCGGGAACUCUGAUACAGGUGCUGCAUGGCUGUCGUCAGCUCGUGUCGUGAGAUGUUGGGUUAAGUCCCGUAACGAGCGCAACCCUUAUCCUUAUUUGCCAGCACUUCGGGUGGGAACUAUAAGGAGACUGCCGGUGAUAAACCGGAGGAAGGCGGGGACGACGUCAAGUCAUCAUGGCCCUUACGACCAGGGCUACACACGUGCUACAAUGGGAAGGACAAAGGGUCGCUAAGCCGCGAGGUGGUGCUAAUCUCAUAAACCUUUUCGUAGUCCGGAUCGGAGUCUGCAACUCGACUCCGUGAAGUCGGAAUCGCUAGUAAUCGUGGAUCAGAACGCCACGGUGAAUACGUUCCCGGGUCUUGUACACACCGCCCGUCAUACCAUGGGAGUGGGUUGCACCAGAAGUGGGUAGUCUAACUUAGGAGGACGCUCACCACGGUGUGAUUCAUGACUGGGGUAAAGUCGUAACA
rnacentral:rRNA from 1 species